AUUGAACGCUGGCGGCAUGCCUUACACAUGCAAGUCGAACGGUAACAGGUCUUCGGAUGCUGACGAGUGGCGAACGGGUGAGUAAUGCAUCGGAACGUGCCCAGUAGUGGGGGAUAGCCCGGCGAAAGCCGGAUUAAUACCGCAUACGACCGGAGGGUGAAAGGGGGGGAUCGCAAGACCUCUCGCUAUUGGAGCGGCCGAUGUCAGAUUAGCUAGUUGGUGGGGUAAAGGCCUACCAAGGCAACGAUCUGUAGUUGGUCUGAGAGGACGACCAGCCACACUGGGACUGAGACACGGCCCAGACUCCUACGGGAGGCAGCAGUGGGGAAUUUUGGACAAUGGGCGCAAGCCUGAUCCAGCAAUGCCGCGUGCAGGAAGAAGGCCUUCGGGUUGUAAACUGCUUUUGUCAGGGAAGAAAUCUUCUGGGUUAAUACCUCGGGAGGAUGACGGUACCUGAAGAAUAAGCACCGGCUAACUACGUGCCAGCCGCCGCUGUAAAAC
rnacentral:rRNA from 1 species